GGAGAAGGAAAUGGCAACUCACUUCAGCAUUCUUGCCUGGGAAAUCCCAUGGACAGAGGACCCUGGCAGGCUAUAGUGCAGGGGGUCACAAGAGUCGAACAUGACUCAGCGACUGAACAACCACCGUAGCUGAUUUACCAUGCUGUGUUAGUCUCACAUUUACAGUGCCAUCUCCCGCGCUCCUGGAGCCCUUGUAGGGUUGAGUCAUCACUGAGCAGGCUCCUGCCACUCAGCUUCAUCUCACUCGGAGCUGCCCUUGGGCUGCAGCCUCUCCUAUCUGCACAGGUUAAUCACUAAAGAGAUGUUGCCUGUAAACGUAAAUGGCCCACCUCUAAGGAGCCCUGCCUCCCAGGUAAUGAGCAUUAAGCUAAAACACCUUUGGGUAGCUGAACCACCCUGACCAGGCCCACCUGUGAAUGACUGCAGGGAGGAAGAAAUGAACACAUCCCCUUUGGAGGCUGACCUGGAACCGGACGUGUUUGUCUUUACUUCCUACGCUUUUAGCAAAAGAGAAGCCUGAAUUCUGACUCAGGCAAGAUGGCUCCCCAGCUUCUUGGUCAGCUGGCUUCCUGAAUAAAAUUGCUCGAUUGAUUUGGCCUGUCGUGUGGCGAGGGGUACCAGCUUGGAUUUGAUAACAAAUUUUGGUGCAGUCAGCCAGGAGCCUUGCUACUCAUGGCUAGCUGGUCCCCUUUGGGGAAUUUUCGGGUAAGGCCCUAGCAACUGCUGGGACCACUUGUCUUGAAAAAUUUUCCCCAGAAUGGCUCUGGCUGCCCCAGCGCUUGGCAGUUGGAGCAAGGAAUCAGCAUUUGGAGGCUGACAGGCUCCAUAUGGUAGGAAUGCUUUGUUUGUCUUGAAUUUCUGUCUUUCAAAACGGAGAAAUGUUUCAACUAUCCCCGAAGAAAGUCCUCUGAAGUGCAUUUUGGAUCAGUGAUCUGAUUACAGCUGUGAACCCAUGAGUGACAGGAAGAUAUUUUAUUGAAACAAGGAGAGGAAGACUAAAGCUCAAGUUUGUCAGGAAAUGUGGUAUGACAGUUUCCAAUUCCUUGCUUCUUGGUUCUUCACUAGAGGUGAAGGUUUUAAGGUUCAGAAUUGCAAGCUAACAUUUCAGCAUGCGAAGAUAUAGGACAUGUGUUUUCAGCAAAGAAGCUCACAGGAAACAUCCUGACCAGGCCCACCUGUGAAUGAAUGCAGGCAGGAAGUAAGAAACACGUUCUCUCCAGCAGCUGGCCAGAACCAGGCAAGGUUUGACUUGAUUCCCUUCCCUUUUAGUAUAAGAGAAGCC